rnacentral:lncRNA from 10 species
GGAAGCUUAAGGCCCACAGGAGCUUAAGUUCGCACUCACUCCCACUCACGCGUACACACGCCACGCUCGGAUCUGAACUCACACGUAGUUCAGUUGCCCUCCCCCACCCCCAACACACACUGAAAACCCGCCUAUUUGGCCCCGCGGCCCCGUUUUCAAAGCGCAGGUUCCGAUUUCCCGAGAGAUGGCAAAGGCCCUGGCAGGAAGUUUACAGGGUUUAACGUAAACAAGUUCUGGGGGAUUCUUUAAUAAUAAUAAUAGAGAAUUCCGCGUGCGCAGGGCGGGAGGGGGGAGUUGGCCUAAUGCCCCUGUGGGCUCGGCCUGCCGCCGCCGCGGGGCCUCUGACACUGCGCGCCAGGCCAGGUUCCUGAGAGCAGACAGCGCGGGCUGGGAGCGCCGGCAAGGGCGGCCCUCGCGCACCUGGCUGCCAGCCCGCAGGGGGCUCGCACGCAGACCUGCCCUUGCCACCUCAGCGCUCGGGUGCGGGCUGGGGGCGGUGGAGCCACGAAAGGUGGUGCCGAGAGCGGAGCGCAGGACAGCGCAGGAGCCCCGGCGCAUCGCGGCGCGCACAGACCCAGGAUUUGUGAAGAGGUGACCCAAAUUUCAAGACAAUGUUGGAUGCAAACGGAUUUGCCAGCAACUGCAUCACUGUCAAAACCAGCUCUGCCCGUGUCUUCCGAAGAUACCAAGUGAAAUACAUGUAGAUGGGAUUUACAUCUGAAAAACCAAGGCAAGAGGCCAUGGGAAGGGACGGAGGUGGAACAGGACUGGACAGAAGCUGAUAAAUGGUUGUUGCUGAGUACUGGGCAGAUAGGGGUUGGUUAUCCUAUUGUCUUUACUUUCAUAUAUUUUAUUUUUUCUGUAAUAAAACAAAUUAAAAUCACCUGUCGUGACCUCACAGGGGCCAGUGUGGGUUGUGGCGUGAGGCAGGAAGCUCUGCAGAGUUCCUUGGUCAAAAGGAUUAAUUACAAAAGAACUCCAUGAACACCGAGAAGAAGAGAAGGGAAUCCUGGCAUUUAAAGCCACAAAGAAACUUGAUAUGGUCUUGUCUCCUUCUCUCAAUUGACAGUGAGAAACUGAAGACCAGAGAGGGUGAGUGGUUUACUCAGUUUGGCACAACUGACCCCAACCUAGCCCUCCAUGAGGACUGAGCGCAUGAGAGAUCCUGAGCCACAGCCGCCCAGCCCUGCUCCUCUCGAAUUUCUGACCUACAGGAACUGCAAGAAGUAAUGAAAGACUGCUGUUUAAAGCCACUGCAUUUUGGCAUGAUUUGUUAUGCAGUCGUAGAUAACCAGAAAACAUCGGAUUUACAUUUUAAGGAUUACUUCAUGCACAUAAAAGAAAACGCAACUACAGUGGACCCUGAACAACGUAGCUAUGGCCUGCAGCCACUGAAGAAUGCUUGCAUAAGGAGCUCUUCUCUGCACAUACCCCGACACAGUGAUGGUAUCUUGCAGCUGCUGCUUCUGUCCAAGGCACUGCAGCCUACUCGUCAAAAGCCCGAAGCCCAGCUCUGCCAGCAGUGCACUGUGUGCUCUUAGGAAACAGAGAAGCAAAGAAGUUAGCAAGCUUGUUUUGGCAGAAGAAAAAACACAAAAUACCCAACCACAGAUCCUCAAAAAUAUUGCUAAGCACUAAUUUUGCUAACAUGUUAGACAGCCUUCGGAUCUAGGCAAUCUUGUUCCUCAGCUGGAAAGAGUUCCUGCCAGCCAUGUGAUUCCAAAUCCACCCUGGACAUAUGGGGAUAAUGAGAAAAUCAGCUCCGGCCUUCCCUGGCCUUCCAGCCAAGUGAAUGGGGGCAUCCCCUGGUGCUUCAGCCCGGGGCCCACCCAGAGGAUGCUAGCUGGCCUGCAGAGGCCUCAACCAUGCCCUCCUGGACUCAGGUAAGACUGAGGUUUCCAUGCCCUCAAAACAAUUGUUCAGACAAAAACUCACUGCCCAGGUCAAAGUCACAGCACCAGAAAGCCAACCUGAGGAUGAAGACAAAGCUCUUUGUUGGCACAGUCCCCUGAUCAUUCGAGGUCAGCAUCUCCAUCAAAAUGGACCCAAUGCUGAGGCAAGAAGGAGAACAUCACUGUUAAGAAGGUAAUGAGUCACAAAUGCUAUUUCGAUGGUUUUCUUUGAAAGAAAUACACAGAACCAAACCAAUUUUAAUUAAAGAUCUUGUCUUUGUAAUCAGGCAGCCACAAAUGAAGGCAAAACUGCUUUCAUGUGGCAUAAUAUACACAGAGCUGAACUAGUUUUCCCAUAAAAGGGCAGGUUCUUUUCUUCAAAUAAGAAAAGAGUUUGUUCCUAACAAUAUGGGGGAUGCAACAGAAAGCUGUCUUUUGCAAAGUAUAAAAUUGCAGAUCCUCCCGUGGAAGCCAUUUCUUGAUGCUAAACCAAUGCGAACGUUUGCCAAACGCACAUGCGAGCCGGGAUUAUCCUACCCUUUGAGAUUAGACAUGUGAUCCUGAUUUUUAAGUGAAAAACGCAGCCAGAGGCCAAAUAAACAUACCUACAAGUACAUCGAAAGCUCAAAUGGUUGAGAAAUGAUUGUAACACACCCCGGUGUGUAUUUCUGAGGAAGAAUCAACAUGCACAUGGAAAUUGAUGUUUUGAUUUUUAAUUUUAAAACGACGACAGAACUGAAAUACCUCCCCUAACUAGGUCCACUGAAACCAGUGAGGAGAUAAUCAUUUUCAGUUAAAUAUGCAUGUAAUUUAAUAAUCCACAGAUGGAAAAUGCAUUUGAGGUGGACUGAACACAGCCAGGAGUUUUUGCUUAUCGACAGCACUGAAUCCUGCCUUGACUAGAGAGACUCGUCAUGUGAUCAACUGUGGCCAGAGGGCAUCCUGCAGACAGCUCCUGUCACACCACACUGACCAGACUCUUAUGAGUAUUUAAGCAUCUUCAGGGAAGCGAUUGACUGUCUUAUAAUGGUCUUACAAGUACGGAACUUUAUUACCUGCUAAUAAUCAGAGCACAUGAUGGCACAAUAGAAUAUACGAGUGAAGUUCUAAAUGCAAGGUUGUUCUUAUUCUGUGAGUGGCAAAACUCAUGCAGUGAGCAGAUAAAGCUGGCAGGAGGCAUUGGCGCCCUAAUGCUGGGCACUAACCACCUGCCCGGACUGCGAAUAUCUGUUGGGUCCUUUCUAUAUCUGGUCUAUUCUCGUGUUUGAUUAUAUCCUGGUGGCAAGAAUAGCAAAAUCAACUCUCCUUCCUAUCCCAUGUGGAGAGGCAUGAUUUGAGUCAGAGAGCAUUAUCCUCUCUGCGUUAUCCAACCCCAUGUCCCAUGAUGCACUUUGUAGACAAGCAAGUGUCCCUGGUGGAGAAUCCACAGCCACACAUCCUCAUUGGUUGCAAGGAUCAGUGUCCAAUAUCUACUGCCAUGAUCAUUCUCAGUUUUACAUCCACAGAGCUUCAUAGAAUUCUAACACCACAGGUCCAAGUAGAGGUUUUGGCCUCAGAGUGGGCUAGAUUCCACCUCUGACAGCAGCUGUGGGACUGUUUUUCCAUCUGUAAAAUGGAGACAAGAGUAUCACCUACCUCAUGGUGUUGGUGGGAUCGUUAAACAGAAUUCCGAUCAUGAAACCCUUAGCCUGCUCCCUGCAUAGGCUGCAUGCGCUCAGUGAGCUAUGGCUCUGUUUCAUGCUGACUUUACCAUCAUGUAAGCAGUUUUAAAAAUGCUAGAAGCUUUAGUCAUAGAAUUACCAUAUGAUACAGCCUACUGCAGAGUCCAGAGGCUGAGGCAGGAGAGUUACUUGAACCUGGGAGGCGGAGGUUGCAGUGAGCCAAGAUCGCGCCACUGCACUCCAGCCUGGGCAACAGAGUGAGAUUCUGUCUCAACACAAAAAAGAAGACAUGUGUCCCCAUCACAGUAUCAUACAGAGUGCUUCCACUGCCCUAAAAUACCCUGUGCUCUUCCUAUUCAUCCCUCUCUUCAACCCCAGCAACCACUGAUCCUUUUACCAUCUCCAUGGUUUUGCCUUUCCCAGAAUGUCAUAUUGUUGGAAUCAUACGCUAUGUAGCCUUUGCAAAUGGGCUUCUUUCACCGAGCAAUGUGCAUUGAAGGUGCCUCUAUGACUUUUCAAGGGUUGAUAGCUCAUUCCUUUUUAUUGCUAAAUAAUAUUCCAUUGUCUGAAUGUACCACAUUUUGUUUAUCCAUUCACCUACUAAAGGACAUCUUGGUUGCUUCCAAGUUUGGGCAAUUAUAAAUAAAACUGCUAUAAACAUUGUGUGCAGGUUUUUUUUUCUAGAUGUCAGUUUUUAACUCAUUUGGACUAUAGAGCACUAUUGCUGGAUCAUAUGAUACGUGUGUGUUUAGUUUUAUGAGAAACUGCCAAACUGUCUUCCAAAGUGGCUGCACCAUUUUGCAUUCCCACCGUCAAUGAAUGAGAGCUCCGGUUGUUCCACAUCCUCACCAGCAUUUGGUGUUGUCAUUGUUUUGGAUUUUAGCCAUUUCAUAGGUGUGUAGAGGUAGCUCAUUGUUUUAAUCUAAUAAACAUCUUAUUGAAGAAUAACACACAAGCAGAAAAUUUCAGAGAUACAAACGAACAGCUUUUUCAACCAUCACCCACUGGAUACAGUUCUGUAUCCAGCACCCAGGCCAAGAAACUGACACUAACGGUGCCCUGUGCCC